UACGUAGGCAGCAAGCGUUGUUCGGAGUUACUGGGCGUAAAGGGUGUGUAGGCGGUUGUUUAAGUUUGGUGUGAAAUCUCCCGGCUCAACCGGGAGGGUGCGCCGAAUACUGAAUAACUAGAGUGCGGGAGAGGAAAGUGGAAUUCCUGGUGUAGCGGUGAAAUGCGUAGAUAUCAGGAGGAACACCGGUGGUGUAGACGGCUUUCUGGACCGUAACUGACGCUGAGACACGAAAGCGUGGGUAGCAAACAGA
rnacentral:rRNA from 1 species